rnacentral:rRNA from 1 species
UACGUAGGGUGCAAGCGUUGUCCGGAAUUAUUGGGCGUAAAGAGCUCGUAGGCGGUUUGUCGCGUCUGCUGUGAAAACCCGAGGCUCAACCUCGGGCCUGCAGUGGGUACGGGCAGACUAGAGUGCGGUAGGGGAGAUUGGAAUUCCUGGUGUAGCGGUGAAAUGCGCAGAUAUCAGGAGGAAUACCGAUGGCGAAGGCAGGUCUCUGGGCCACUACUGACGCUGAGAAGCGAAAGCAUGGGGAGCGAACAGG